rnacentral:misc_RNA from 1 species
UGGUGGGGGAGGUUCUGAGG